GAUUCUCUCUUGGGUCAGCUAGCGCAAGCUAGGUCAGGGUCAUUUACAAGAGAUAAGAUCAUUUCAUGUCACGGGAAAUGGUUCGAAAACUUAGUGAAUCGCCAGCGUGGAACAUGUCAGUCUGUGACUAGCUAGCUAAAUUAAAUGAUAUGACUAAGUAUGUAGAACUUGUUGUAGAGGAUUUGCGGACGCGGGUUCGAUUCCCGCCGACUCCACCA
rnacentral:tmRNA from 1 species